UACAGAGGUCCCAAGCGUUGUUCGGAUUCACUGGGCGUAAAGGGUGCGUAGGUGGGGGGGUAAGUCGGAUGUGAAAGCUCGGAGCUCAACUCCGAAAUGGCAUUGGAAACUACCCUGCUAGAGGAUUGGAGGGGGAACUGGAAUACUUGGUGUAGCAGUGAAAUGCGUAGAUAUCAAGUGGAACACCAGUGGCGAAGGCGAGUCCCUGGACAAUACCUGACACUGAGGCACGAAAGCUAGGGGAGCAAACAGG
rnacentral:rRNA from 1 species